GCAUAUCAAUAAGCGGAGGAAAAGAAACCAACAGGGAUUGCCUUAGUAGCGGCGAGUGAAGCGGCAAAAGCUCAAAUUUGAAAUCUGGUACUUUCAGUAUCCGAGUUGUAAUUUGAAGAAGGUAUCUUUGGACCUGGCUCUUGUCUAUGUUCCUUGGAACAGGACGUCACAGAGGGUGAGAAUCCCGUGCGAUGAGAUGCUCCAGGUCUAUGUAAAGUUCCUUCGAAGAGUCGAGUUGUUUGGGAAUGCAGCUCUAAGUGGGUGGUAAAUUCCAUCUAAAGCUAAAUAUUGGCGAGAGACCGAUAGCGAACAAGUACAGUGAUGGAAAGAUGAAAAGAACUUUGAAAAGAGAGUGAAAAAGUACGUGAAAUUGUUGAAAGGGAAGGGCUUGAGAUCAGACUUGAUAUUUUGUAUGUUGUUCUUUCGGGGGCAGCCUCUACAGUUUAUCGGGCCAGCAUCGGUUUGAACGGUAGGAUAAUGGUAAAGAAAUGUGGCAUCACUUGUGAUGUGUUAUAGUCUUUUAUUGAUACUGCCAGUUUAGACCGAGGACUGCGAUUUUUAAUCUAGGAUGUUGGCAUAAUGAUCUUAAGUCGCCCGUCUUGAAACACGGACCAAGGAGUCUAACGUCUAUGCGAGUGUUUGGGUGUAAAACCCGU
rnacentral:rRNA from 1 species